GUUUGGAUUGUUUCACAUGUAGUCAUGUAAGAUAUCUUUUAUAGCUUUCACUUAUAACAUCCUCGUCUGACAUUAUUUAUGGUGAAAGGAGGACAACUCUAAUGUUUAAAAUGCGUAUAAAACAACAGAAACUAUCAGCAAAAAGUGCAAUUAACCAGAAAAGACAAGAUGAGCAGAGAUUCAUGUUGCCAUACUUAAAGGCAGUGAUAAUGUAUCAAUAGGAAAAAUA
rnacentral:lncRNA from 1 species